GAUGAAGAACGUAGCGAAAUGCGAUAAGUAAUGUGAAUUGCAGAAUUCAGUGAAUCAUCGAAUCUUUGAACGCACAUUGCGCCCGCCAGCAUUCUGGCGGGCAUGCCUGUUCGAGCGUCAUUUCAACCCUCGAGCCCCCCCGGGGGCCUCGGUGUUGGGGGACGGCACACCAGCCGCCCCCGAAAUGCAGUGGCGACCCCGCCGCAGCCUCCCCUGCGUAGUAGCACACACCUCGCACCGGAGCGCGGAGGCGGUCACGCCGUAAAACGCCCAACUUUCUUAGAGUUGACCUCGGAUCAGGUAGGAAUACCCGCUGAACUUUAGCAUAUCAAUAAGCGGAGGA
rnacentral:misc_RNA from 1 species